GAUGAACGCUGGCGGCGUGCCUAAUACAUGCAAGUCGAGCGAACGGACGAGAAGCUUGCUCCUCUGAUGUUAGCGGCGGACGGGUGAGUAACACGUGGAGAACCUACCUAUAAGACUGGGAUAACUUCGGGAAACCGGAGCUAAUACCGGAUGAUAUUUUGAACCGCAUGGUUCAAAAGUGAAAGACGGUCUUGCUGUCACUUAUAGAUGGACCCGCGUUGCAUUAGCUAGUUGGUAAGGAAACGGCUUACCAAGGCAACGAUGAUUAGCCGACUUGAGAGGUGGACCGGCCACACUGGACCUGAGCCACGGUCCAGCCCCUUACGGGGGCCACCGGUAGGGAAUCUUCCGCAAUGGGCGAAGUCCUGCCGAAGAAACGCCGCGUGAGUGAUAAAGGUCUUCGAAUCGUAAACCUCUGUUAUUGGGGAAAACCAUAUGUGUAAGUAACUGUGCACAUCUUGACGGUACCUAAUCAGAAAGCCACGGCUAACUACGUG
rnacentral:rRNA from 1 species